rnacentral:rRNA from 1 species
UACGUAGGGUGCAAGCGUUAAUCGGAAUUACUGGGCGUAAAGCGUGCGCAGGCGGUUUUGUAAGACUGUCGUGAAAUCCCCGGGCUUAACCUGGGAAUGGCGAUGGUGACUGCAAGGCUAGAGUUUGGCAGAGGGGGGUAGAAUUCCACGUGUAGCAGUGAAAUGCGUAGAGAUGUGGAGGAACACCGAUGGCGAAGGCAGCCCCCUGGGUCAAAACUGACGCUGAGGCGCGAAAGCGUGGGGAGCAAACAGG